GCGUUCGUAGCUCACCUGGAUAGAGUAACGGACUUCGAAUCCGUAGGUAGCAGGUUCGAGUCCUGCCGGACGCA
rnacentral:tRNA from 1 species